CCUCUGUAUGUCACAUGUAUAGCUCCUACUUCCUGGGGUGACCAGGACCCAUUUGGGCUCUGCCCACACUACUGGCAAAGAUGUGGUAUGGUGAACACAGGGUCUGCAUCCUGGGAUAACCUGGGGAGGCUGUGCCAGGCUGUGGCAGCCAGUGCCCUCAUCUUGGCUCCUGAGACCCAGGGGCACCCUCCUCACUUCCUGAAUCCCUGAUCUCUGGGGCUGGCAGAUGAAUGAAGCCGGGCAUGAGAUAAUGCUACGAAAAGCCUCGUCUCUCAGCUGGACACUCACCCCACCAGGCCCAGGCAGGCCCUGCACGUACAACCUGUCGGGAAACACGGGCCCAGACGGGGACUUCACUGGCCCUAAAGCACACAGUUCCAGGCCCGAGCCCGUGUCUGCC